CCAUGAAUCAUAGUGACGAGCACUGUCAACUUUAUUGUAAGAGUUUGAGGGAAUCAAAUCAUGCUUUACAUGCCACUGCAGUCAAUAGCGUUGCUUUGGAAGGUAGCCAACUUUGAAGUACUUUUACACACCCCCACGGAAGAACAUUUGAUCAUAUCAAAUUCCUAGUUCGCAUUGUAAUAAAAUUUACCCUCUACAAUCUUCGACGAUC
rnacentral:lncRNA from 1 species